GCACCUGGUUGCUUCACUACAGAUGGUCUAGAAAGAUAAUUAAAAGCCUGAAAAAGCCACUGAAGUCCAAAGGCUCUUCUUCAGCCGUCAGCCUGAAUCAAUGGAGAGCUUGCCCCGUGCUUUGCUGCCACUACAGGGCCAUUCUUGAAGCAUACAUUGUGUUGCACUCUAUAGCCUAUUGCACAUAUUUGAAGAUGUGUUUGUGUGCACUUAUUCAAUAAUUCUUCCAAGUUGUGUUUCCUGGAGACAGCAGAAGAUUGAGUUCUAUUUUCUAAUCCAGCCUGUUACUCUGUGUCUUAUUAUUGGUCUUCAACUAGGCAAUUCAAAAUAAUGUAAGGGAUGAAGAGAGAAAAGAGAAGAUGAAAAGGAAGUAAAUUAUCACUGUUUGAGAUUCUGCUAUAUGUACCGCAGUCCCCAAAGACAAGCAAAACAUAAUAAUUUUCUUCAAAGUAAAUUGAAAGUAACACUGAAACCUCAUUCUAUCAGGUGACUGGAAAACUCAAGUUCAUGCAGGGAUCUGUGGUGCGAGCCUUACCCCUCCUAACAAAAAAAGCCUGAAACCUGAUUCCUUGUAUGUUCCCUUGCAAACAAGUAGCUCUGCAACUUUCAAGUGAAAACUGGAUCGCUGGUGAUAGGUUUCAAUCUCUCUAGGUGACUGAAUGUAGGUUUUCAAUGUGUGCAUUGUAGGUUUUAGGUGUGCAAUGUAGGUUUUCCCAUUGCAGAGAUGUGUUAAGAGUCCACACCAACCCAGGAAACUUGAGUCACACAGUUGUGUUUAUUUAAGCAGACAGCCAUCUUCUUUUUUGUUGUUGCUUUCAUUUGCUUCUCUUUUACCCUAUUAA